rnacentral:rRNA from 1 species
AUGGCAGUCAUUGCUUGGGCUAUAGUAAGGAAGAGAAGACCACGUAUUACGUACGGGCCAAUACAUGAAAGAGAUCAAAUCAGAUUUGAUUAUCUGGACCAAAAAAUAUGGCAAAGUGAUGUGUUGUGUAAAAACAUGUCACGGUUUGAAAGAGCUAUGUUUUUUAACUUGUGUGGCAUAAUGAGGGAUCGCAAGUUGCUAGAAGAUAGUCCACAUCUUAGCGUGGAGCAACAAUUGGCGGUGUUUUUGCAUACAGUUGGGCAUAACGUUCGGAAUAGGGUUGUUUCCACCAUUUCUGUAGAUCAUAUGGCACAACCAGCAUCUAUUUUAGAAAGGCUCUUCAUGUGA